AAUCACGGAGAGCGGGUUCCGUCCCCUCCUCGCCCCGGCCUGUAACUGCUGCGGGGGCCGCUUUCUGGGCCCGCCCCUCCAGGCCAGGAGCCUUUUUCAAAAUGUGGCGGUGGCAGGGAAGGUUGUCUGCUCCAGAGGCUUCCCUAGAGUGAAGAGCUCUACUAUGUAUGCUUUAUGCGGCAGAAGGAGUGCUUUGGAGGAGUUUUUAAAUUUGUUUUUUUUUUAAAUCUUAUCGGUUUUAAUUGUAGCAAUGAUUCAAGAAACGUUAGUAGGUGCCCAUAACUUCGGUGGUGGAGAUCCAAAAGUGAACAAGACAGUGUUCUGGCUGCUAAAUUCUUCUUAACUGGUUAUGCCUGGAGACCUUCACUUGGUUCUGUGCCAGCACUGCCCAUGAACUUCAUAGACUGUGAUCUUUGCUAAGGCCUAAAUGAAUGAAGGUGCAGGACCGGAAGCAGAAGACAGAAAGUGGAGACCAGAUGUUUGAAGCUGGGUAAAGGCAGGGAUGGAGCAGGAACCGAGGAACAAACCUUGGAACUAGGCAGGCUUUCAAAUCAUCUGGUGAUGUUCCUUUCAAAAAACUCAUUGGGGCUUUG
rnacentral:lncRNA from 10 species